rnacentral:rRNA from 1 species
GAUGAACGCUGGCGGCGUGCUUAACACAUGCAAGUCGAACGAAGCACCUCUCCCGAAGAUUGACACAGCUUGCUGUAGAUUGAUUCAUUUGAGGUGACUGAGUGGCGGACGGGUGAGUAACGCGUGGGUAACCUGCCUCAUAGAGGGGGACAACAGUUGGAAACGACUGCUAAUACCGCAUAGUAAGAAGAAUUCGCAUGUUUUCUUCUUGAAAGAUUUAUCGCUAUGAGAUGGACCCGCGUCUGAUUAGCUAGUUGGUAAGGUAACGGCUUACCAAGGCGACGAUCAGUAGCCGGGUUGAGAGAGUGAACGGCCACAUUGGGACUGAGACACGGCCCAAACUCCUACGGGAAGCAGCAGUGGGGAAUAUUGCACAAUGGGGGAAACCCUGAUGCAGCGACGCCGCGUGAGUGAAGAAGUAUUUCGGUAUGUAAAGCUCUAUCAGCAGGGAAGAUAAUGACGGUACCUGACUAAGAAGCCCCGGCUAACUACGUG